AUUAUUCGUAUUUUUGUUCUCUGUAUAAAGUUGGAGAUAUGGUCCAAAAGUUUCUACCAAACUACUGUAAAUAGCCUUAGACGGGAUAUUUUUAUAUUAA
rnacentral:ncRNA from 2 species